UUUCAGCUCGUACACAUCAAACAACAACAAGAACAACAACCCAGUAUAAUCCCACUUAGUGGGGUCUGGAGAGGGUAGUGUGUACGCAGACCUUAUCCCUACCCUGGGGUAGAGAGGCUGUUUCCAAAUAGCCCCGGGCAUCCUUCCCUCCAAGAACUUCCCACCUUGCUCUUGGGGAGACUCGAACUCACAACCUCUCGGAUGGAAGUGGGGGUUGCUUACCAUCAAACAAAUGAAGAAAUUAUCUAUCCACUGAUAUUCUGCUUAUUGUCACUUGGAGAUGGCUUUUUCCAUAUGAGUUAUUCAACUAGGACAAGCGCAUGAUUCAGCGACAUAAGAAUAGUACAAGUCUGCCUCUUCCUAUACCUUAACCUGCAAAAGUGAACGACAUUGAUAAAAUCCAUCAAGGCAUUUACCUGCGAGAGAAGAUUCCAAAACUGUCUGCUAUAGCAACAUCAAAUAGACACCUGAAUAUACAUGGUGUUUACACUUGAAAAGUAUCAUUUGGCAUCACGAUUCUAAUUCUCUUCUGUCCCCAUCCUCUCCGCAAUUGGACAUGGCAUUUAACCGCUUUUGCAACUGGUAGCAGAUGAAAAAUCAUUGUUAAUAAAUGAGAAAACACUGAGAUACUGUCAAUAAACCUCUUCCGUUCGUCCGUCCCUCCCUACUUUCUUUCAAGUGUUGUUACUUUAGCCCUAGUUUUUGAACCUGAACGUCAUCAAGAGGAAGAGAUAUCUCCACACCAUUGGUGUUCUUUUAGUUAUUAUUAUUUAUGAAAACAUUUCCCAGAAUUGCUUUUUCUCAUGUUUGGGAAGAAAAGAAAUGUUUUAAGAAUUUUGGAGACAACAAGAAGCCUAGUGAAAUCCCACAAGUGGGGUCUGGGGAGGGUGAAGUGUACGCAGACCUUACCCCUACCUAAUGAAGAUAGAGAGGUUGUUUCCGUAAGAUCCCCGGCUCAAAAGAAGUGAAGUCAUAUUUUUGCAACAAUCCUUCUUUGGGAAAGAUCAGGAAACAACAACAACAACAACCCAAUAUAAUCCCACUUAAUGGGAUCUGGGGAGGGUAGUGUGUACGCAGACCUUACCCCUACCUGGGGAUAGAGAGGCUGUUUCCAAAUAAACCCCGGCAUCCUUCCCUCCAAGAACUUCCCACCUUGCUCUUGGGGAGACUCGAAAUCACAACCCCUCGGUUGGAAGUGGGGUUGCCCUCCUCUUCUCCUUCAACUCUCCCAAUUGGUACUCAACGUUAGAAAGCUGUGCAUUUUCUUUUCUCCUUCCCUCUUUUACUUUUUUCUGGUCCUAUUGUCCAAAAAGUAGUUUGGUGUAUGUUUAACCACAAUAGACAUUUUGUUAUCCAUUCUUCCUUUCUUCAAUCCAAUUAAAAUUAGAGAGACCUUUGUAUUGAAGAAAC
rnacentral:lncRNA from 1 species